rnacentral:rRNA from 1 species
UACGUAGGGUGCAAGCGUUGUCCGGAAUUAUUGGGCGUAAAGAGCUCGUAGGUGGCGGGUCACGUCGGGUGUGAAAGCCCGGGGCUUAACCCCGGGUCUGCAUUCGAUACGGGCCUGCUAGGGUCCGGCAGGGGAGACUGGAAUUCCUGGUGUAGCGGUGAAAUGCACAGAUAUCAGGAGGAACGACCGGUGGCGAAGGCGGGUCUCUGGGCCGGUACCGACGCUGAGGAGCGAAAGCGUGGGGAGCGAACAGG